rnacentral:rRNA from 1 species
ACGCUCGACACCUACUGGAGGCAGCAGUGGGGAAUAUUGCACAAUGGGGGAAACCCUGAUGCAGCGACGCCGCGUGGAGGAAGAAGGUCUUCGGAUUGUAAACUCCUGUUGUUGGGGAAAAAGAGGAUGGUACCCAACAAGGAAGUGACGGCUAACUACGNGCCAGCAGCCGCGGUAAUCUGAGCGGGCUGGCAAGGC